CUAACUACGUGCCAGCAGCCGCGGUAAUACGUAGGGGGCUAGCGUUAUCCGGAUUUACUGGGCGUAAAGGGUGCGUAGGCGGUCUUUCAAGUCAGGAGUGAAAGGCUACGGCUCAACCGUAGUAAGCUCUUGAAACUGGGAGACUUGAGUGCAGGAGAGGAGAGUGGAAUUCCUAGGGUAGCGGUGAAAUGCGUAGAUAUUAGGAGGAACACCAGUUGCGAAGGCGGCGCGCUGGACUGUAACUGACGCCGAGGCCAGAAAGCGUGGGGAGCACACCGGCUUAGAUACCCUGGUAGCCCAGGCUGGAAACGAUGCGUACUAGGUGUCG
rnacentral:rRNA from 1 species